rnacentral:misc_RNA from 1 species
UUUCCGUAGGUGAACCUGCGGAAGGAUCAUUACAGAAUUUGGAGAUUUUGUCUUCACUUUCCAUCCGAUGUUUAAUUACACCUUUGUUGCUUCGGUUCGUCUGUCUUUCAGACUGCCGGAGAUCUGAUCUCUGGCUCGUACGAAUCGAUAGCCUUCAAAAUUCUUCUUAAUCAUGAUGUCUAAGUCAAACGUUUUAAAUUAAAAACAAAACUUUCAACAACGGAUCUCUUGGUUCUGGCAUCGAUGAAGAACGCAGC